rnacentral:lncRNA from 1 species
UACUAUCCACCUAGGCUAUAGGUUAUAUAGAGCCUAUUGCUCCUGGGUUAUAAACAGAACCUAGGAAUAGUGAUAUUUGCCUUGACGAUCUUAAGAAAUUAUUUGAGGGGAG